rnacentral:rRNA from 1 species
CUCCUUGUGGGUGGGUUGACGGUAGCUGGAUAAGAAGCGCCGGCUAACUACGUGCCAGCAGCCGCGGUAAUACGUAGGGCGCGAGCGUUGUCCGGAAUUAUUGGGCGUAAAGAGCUCGUAGGCGGCUGGUCGCGUCUGUCGUGAAAUCCUCUGGCUUAACUGGGGGCUUGCGGUGGGUACGGGCCGGCUUGAGUGCGGUAGGGGAGACUGGAACUCCUGGUGUAGCGGUGGAAUGCGCAGAUAUCAGGAAGAACACCGGUGGCGAAGGCGGGUCUCUGGGCCGUUACUGACGCUGAGGAGCGAAAGCGUGGGGAGCGAACAGGAUUAGAUACCCUGGUAGUCCACGCCGUAAACGUUGGGCACUAGGUGUUGGAUCC